GCUGGUGCCCUGAGAUAAGACUG
rnacentral:piRNA from 1 species